rnacentral:rRNA from 1 species
CCAAUGUGAACGUUACAAACUGUUGCCUCGGCGGGGUCACGCCCCGGGUGCGUCGCAGCCCCGGAACCAGGCGCCCGCCGGAGGAACCAACCAAACUCUUUCUGUAGUCCCCUCGCGGACGUAUUUCUUACAGCUCUGAGCAAAAAUUCAAAAUGAAUCAAAACUUUCAACAACGGAUCUCUUGGUUCUGGCAUCGAUGAAGAACGCAGCGAAAUGCGAUAAGUAAUGUGAAUUGCAGAAUUCAGUGAAUCAUCGAAUCUUUGAACGCACAUUGCGCCCGCCAGUAUUCUGGCGGGCAUGCCUGUCCGAGCGUCAUUUCAACCCUCGAACCCCUCCGGGGGAUCGGCGUUGGGGAUCGGGACCCCUCACACGGGUGCCGGCCCCGAAAUACAGUGGCGGUCUCGCCGCAGCCUCUCCUGCGCAGUAGUUUGCACAACUCGCACCGGGAGCGCGGCGCGUCCACGUCCGUAAAACACCCAACUUUCUGAAAUGUUGACCUCGGAUCAGGUAGGAAUACCCGCUGAACUUAAGCAUAUCAAUAAGCGGAGG